GAGCACUGUGCAGAGCGAGUUGUUUCUUAGCUUCCCAAAGAGCUGGAAGCAAGAUGCUUUGGGGCCCUUCUCACCCUUUGGAAAGAAGGCAGCACUUGGUGCCUUGCACCUCUAGGGCAAUGUAGCACAUGGCAGAGCAGAAGUUCUACUUCAGGGAGAUCACGCCUGCAAAGAAACUGCAUUUCACAGGCCUUUGUAAGAGAUGUUCCCGGUAGGCUGUAAGAGCACUGUGCAGAGCGACUUGUUUCUUAGCUUCCCAGAGAGCUGGAAGCAAGAUGCUUUGGGGCCCAUCUGCCCCUAUGGAAAGAACGCAGCACUUUGUGCCUUGCAGCUCUAGGGCAAUGCAGCACACCCCGAGCAGAAGUUCUACUUCAGCCAGAUCAGGCCUGCAAAGAAACUGCGUUUCACAGGCCUUUGUAAGAGAUGUUCCCGGUAGGCUGUUAGAGCACUGUGCAGAGCGAGUUGUUUCUUAGCUUCCCAGAGAGCUGGAAGCAAGAUGCUUUGGGGCCCGUUAAUUUUAUACCCUGCUACUUUGCUGUAGUUGUUGAUUAUUUCUAAUAGUUUUUCUGUGGAUUCUUUGGGGUUUUCUAUGUAUAAGAUCAUGUCGUCUGCAAACAACGCGAGUUUUACUUCUUCGUUACCUAUUUGGAUUCCUUUUAUUUUUUUUUCCUGCCGAAUUGCUCUGGCCAGCACCUCCAGUACUAUGUUGAAUAGGAGUGGUGAAAGUGGGCACCCUUGUCUUGUUCCUG
rnacentral:lncRNA from 1 species